rnacentral:rRNA from 1 species
GACGAACGCUGGCGGCGUGCCUAAUACAUGCAAGUAGAACGCACAGUUUAUACCGUAGCUUGCUCCACCAUAGACUGUGAGUUGCGAACGGGUGAGUAACGCGUAGGUAACCUGCCUGGUAGCGGGGGAUAACUAUUGGAAACGAUAGCUAAUACCGCAUAAUAUUGAUUAUUGCAUGAUAAUUGAUUGAAAGAUGCUAUUGCAUCACUACCAGAUGGACCUGCGUUGUAUUAGCUAGUAGGUGAGGUAACGGCUCACCUAGGCGACGAUACAUAGCCGACCUGCGAGGGUGAUCGGCCACACUGGGACUGAGACACGGCCCAGACUCCUACGGGAGGCAGCAGUAGGGAAUCUUCGGCAAUGGACGAAAGUCUGACCGAGCAACGCCGCGUGAGGGAAGAAGGUUUUCGGAUCGUAAAGCUCUGUUGUAAGAGAAGAACGGGUGUGAGAGUGGAAAGUUCACACUGUGACGGUAUCUUACCAGAAAGGGACGGCUAACUACGUG